rnacentral:rRNA from 1 species
CCUACGGGAGGCAGCAGUGGGGAAUAUUGGGCAAUGGGCGCAAGCCUGACCCAGCGACGCCGCGUGCGGGAUGACGCUUCUCGGAGUGUAAACCGCUGUCAGAGGGGACGAACGGCCCGGAGGGGAAUACUCUUCGGGAUUGACGGUACCCUCAAAGGAAGCGCCGGCUAACUCCGUGCCAGCAGCCGCGGUAAUACGGAGGGCGCAAGCGUUGUUCGGAAUCACUGGGCGUAAAGCGCGCGCAGGCGGGACGAGCAAGUCGGAAGUGAAAUCUCGGGGCUCAACUCCGAGGCUGCUUCCGAUACUGCCGACCUGGAGACCGGUAGAGGUGGGUGGAAUUCCCGGUGUAGCGGUGGAAUGCGUAGAUAUCGGGAAGAACACCUGUGGCGAAGGCGGCCCACUGGGCCGGAUCUGACGCUGAGGCGCGAAAGCGUGGGGAG